AUGAGGAACACAAAAGUCAUGUGUAAACAAAAAAUCUCUGUGUAGUGAUAUUUGACACAUUUCUAUGAUAAACAAAUAACUGAGCUGAACCAUUAGUGUUAAUUUAGAAAAUAAGGGAACACAGAAUAAAUGUGUAAAAACCAUGGAGCUAUGAAAUGUGUUCAAAGUAUUAAAAUUUCAAAGAACUUAUUGUGUUGAAAUUGGGAUUUUUUACCAUGAGGAGCGACAUCGCAAAAGGAUACUCGGGGUUUGCUAAAUUACGGAAAAAUGAAUCACACUUCGUACCCCGAAAAUUUAACCACAUAUGUAAAAAUGUCUCAGCUUCGAAACAAGCCAUCAUACAUAUACAAGUUUACGAUAUGGGCUGAGCAACAGAAGAAAACGUUACCAUUACGGCCUAUGGAAUAACAAUUGCGCAUAUUGCCCCAUCUUGUGAGGAAGGAUCCAGAGAUGUCUUAAGCUAAUUUCACCUUGUACACCACAGAAAAUUGUUAAAAUGAUGUUCCAGACAUAUCAUUACUUUUAAAUAUGAGAUGACAAACUAAAGGUUUUAAAAAGUCCUGAAUAACUGAAAUGGACAAAAAUACACAGAUUUAUUCAGAAUGUCAUACCGAUGAAGAUCACCUAAAAAUAUUUGGAAAAAUCAGAACUAUGGAUUUCAAUAUGGGACAAUACCCCUAAUGAGCCUUGAAAUGAGGAACACAAAAGUCAUGUGUAAACAAAAAAUCUCUGUGUAGUGAUAUUUGACACAUUUCUAUGAUAAACAAAUAACUGAGCUGAACCAUUAGUGUUAAUUUAGAAAAUAAGGGAACACAGAAUAAAUGUGUAAAAACCAUGGAGCUAUGAAAUGUGUUCAAAGUAUUAAAAUUUCAAAGAACUUAUUGUGUUGAAAUUGGGAUUUUUUACCAUGAGGAGCGACAUCGCAAAAGGAUACUCGGGGUUUGCUAAAUUACGGAAAAAUGAAUCACACUUCGUACCCCGAAAAUUUAACCACAUAUGUAAAAAUGUCUCAGCUUCGAAACAAGCCAUCAUACAUAUACAAGUUUACGAUAUGGGCUGAGCAACAGAAGAAAACGUUACCAUUACGGCCUAUGGAAUAACAAUUGCGCAUAUUGCCCCAUCUUGUGAGGAAGGAUCCAGAGAUGUCUUAAGCUAAUUUCACCUUGUACACCACAGAAAAUUGUUAAAAUGAUGUUCCAGACAUAUCAUUACUUUUAAAUAUGAGAUGACAAACUAAAGGUUUUAAAAAGUCCUGAAUAACUGAAAUGGACAAAAAUACACAGAUUUAUUCAGAAUGUCAUACCGAUGAAGAUCACCUAAAAAUAUUUGGAAAAAUCAGAACUAUGGAUUUCAAUAUGGGACAAUACCCCUAAUGAGCCUUGAAAUGAGGAACACAAAAGUCAUGUGUAAACAAAAAAUCUCUGUGUAGUGAUAUUUGACACAUUUCUAUGAUAAACAAAUAACUGAGCUGAACCAUUAGUGUUAAUUUAGAAAAUAAGGGAACACAGAAUAAAUGUGUAAAAACCAUGGAGCUAUGAAAUGUGUUCAAAGUAUUAAAAUUUCAAAGAACUUAUUGUGUUGAAAUUGGGAUUUUUUACCAUGAGGAGCGACAUCGCAAAAGGAUACUCGGGGUUUGCUAAAUUACGGAAAAAUGAAUCACACUUCGUACCCCGAAAAUUUAACCACAUAUGUAAAAAUGUCUCAGCUUCGAAACAAGCCAUCAUACAUAUACAAGUUUACGAUAUGGGCUGAGCAACAGAAGAAAACGUUACCAUUACGGCCUAUGGAAUAACAAUUGCGCAUAUUGCCCCAUCUUGUGAGGAAGGAUCCAGAGAUGUCUUAAGCUAAUUUCACCUUGUACACCACAGAAAAUUGUUAAAAUGAUGUUCCAGACAUAUCAUUACUUUUAAAUAUGAGAUGACAAACUAAAGGUUUUAAAAAGUCCUGAAUAACUGAAAUGGACAAAAAUACACAGAUUUAUUCAGAAUGUCAUACCGAUGAAGAUCACCUAAAAAUAUUUGGAAAAAUCAGAACUAUGGAUUUCAAUAUGGGACAAUACCCCUAAUGAGCCUUGAAAUGAGGAACACAAAAGUCAUGUGUAAACAAAAAAUCUCUGUGUAGUGAUAUUUGACACAUUUCUAUGAUAAACAAAUAACUGAGCUGAACCAUUAGUGUUAAUUUAGAAAAUAAGGGAACACAGAAUAAAUGUGUAAAAACCAUGGAGCUAUGAAAUGUGUUCAAAGUAUUAAAAUUUCAAAGAACUUAUUGUGUUGAAAUUGGGAUUUUUUACCAUGAGGAGCGACAUCGCAAAAGGAUACUCGGGGUUUGCUAAAUUACGGAAAAAUGAAUCACACUUCGUACCCCGAAAAUUUAACCACAUAUGUAAAAAUGUCUCAGCUUCGAAACAAGCCAUCAUACAUAUACAAGUUUACGAUAUGGGCUGAGCAACAGAAGAAAACGUUACCAUUACGGCCUAUGGAAUAACAAUUGCGCAUAUUGCCCCAUCUUGUGAGGAAGGAUCCAGAGAUGUCUUAAGCUAAUUUCACCUUGUACACCACAGAAAAUUGUUAAAAUGAUGUUCCAGACAUAUCAUUACUUUUAAAUAUGAGAUGACAAACUAAAGGUUUUAAAAAGUCCUGAAUAACUGAAAUGGACAAAAAUACACAGAUUUAUUCAGAAUGUCAUACCGAUGAAGAUCACCUAAAAAUAUUUGGAAAAAUCAGAACUAUGGAUUUCAAUAUGGGACAAUACCCCUAAUGAGCCUUGAAAUGAGGAACACAAAAGUCAUGUGUAAACAAAAAAUCUCUGUGUAGUGAUAUUUGACACAUUUCUAUGAUAAACAAAUAACUGAGCUGAACCAUUAGUGUUAAUUUAGAAAAUAAGGGAACACAGAAUAAAUGUGUAAAAACCAUGGAGCUAUGAAAUGUGUUCAAAGUAUUAAAAUUUCAAAGAA